GUGCUCGCUUUGGUAGCACAUAUACUAAAAUUGGAAUGAUACAGAGGAGAUUAGCACGACACCGAGCAAGGAUGACACAUAAAUUCGUAAACAAAACUGGUU
ensembl:snRNA U6 U6 spliceosomal RNA